rnacentral:rRNA from 1 species
AGGUUAAGUUAACAAGGGCGCAUGGUGAAUGCCUUGGCACUAGGAGCCGAUGAAGGACGGGACUAACACCGAUAUGCUUCGGGGAGCUGUACGUAAGCUAUGAUCCGGAGAUUUCCGAAUGGGGCAACCCAGCAGUUUUAAUCAACUGUUACCACUAGAUGAAUUCAUAGUCUAGUUGGAGGUAAACGCUGUGAACUGAAACAUCUCAUUAGCAGCAGGAAUAUAAAGAAAUUUCGAUUCCCUAAGUAGCGGCGAGCGAACGGGGAACAGCCCAAACCAAAGUGCUUGCACUUUGGGGUUGUAGGACUGAACAUUUGAGUUACCAAAGAACUUGAUAGUCGAAGGAUUUGGGAAAAUCCGCCAUAGAUGGUGAUAGCCCAGUAGAUUAAAUCAAAUUCUCUCAGUUCAGGAUCCUGAGUACGGCGGAACACGCGAAAUUCCGUCGGAAUCCGGGAGGACCAUCUCCCAAGGCUAAAUACUACCUAGUGACCGAUAGUGAACCAGUACCGUGAGGGAAAGGUGAAAAGCACCCCGGGAGGGGAGUGAAAUAGUUCCUGAAACCAUGUGCCUACAAUAAGUCAGAGCGCGUUAAUGCGUGAUGGCGUGCCUUUUGUAGAAUGAACCGGCGAGUUAUGAUCCCGUGCAAGGUUAAGACUAAAAAGUCGGAGCCGUAGCGAAAGCGAGUCUGAAAUGGGCGUUUUGAGUACGAGGUUAUAGACCCGAAACCAGGUGACCUAUCCAUGUCCAGGUUGAAGGUGCGGUAAAACGCACUGGAGGACCGAACCCGUGUAAGUUGAAAAUUGCUGGGAUGAGGUGUGGAUAGCGGUGAAAUUCCAAACGAACUUGGAGAUAGCUGGUUCUCUCCGAAAUAGCUUUAGGGCUAGCCUCGGAAUUAGGAUCAUGGAGGUAGAGCACUAUUUGGACUAGGGGCCCGUCUUGGGUUACUGAAUUCAGAUAAACUCCGAAUGCCAUUGAUUCAUAUCCGGGAGUCAGACGAUGAGUGAUAAGAUCCACCGUCGAAAGGGGAACAGCCCAGACCAUCAGUUAAGGUCCCUAAAUGUAUGCUAAGUGGAAAAGGAUGUGGAGUUGCAUAGACAACUAGGAUGUUGGCUCAGAAGCAGCCACCAUUUAAAGAGUGCGUAAUAGCUCACUAGUCGAGUGAUCCUGCGCCGAAAAUGUACCGGGGCUAAGCAUACUACCGAAACCAUGGAUGCGACCAUUAGGUCGCGUGAUAGGAGAGCGUUCUAAGGGCGGUGAAGCAAGAUCGUGAGGACUUGUGGAGCGCUUAGAAGUGAGAAUGCCGGUAUGAGUAGCGAAAGAUAGGUGAGAAUCCUAUCCACCGAAUGACUAAGGUUUCCUGGGGAAGGCUCGUCCUCCCAGGGUUAGUCGGGACCUAAGUCGAGGCCGAGAGGCGUAGACGAUGGAUAACAGGUUGAGAUUCCUGUACUAGUUAAGUGCGUUUGAGCAAUGGAGGGACGCAGGAGGCUAAGAUGUGCAUUCUGUUGGAUUAGAAUGUCCAAGCAGUAAGUCUUGUGAAGAGUCAAAUGCUUUUCACUUUAAGGACAAGCUGUGAUGGGGAGCGAAAUUUAGUAGCGAAGCGUCUGAUGUCACACUGCCGAGAAAAGCUUCUAGUGAGUACUUAACUACCCGUACCGCAAACCGACACAGGUAGUCGAGGAGAGAAUCCUAAGGUGAGCGAGUGAACUCUCGUUAAGGAACUCGGCAAAAUGACCCCGUAACUUCGGGAGAAGGGGUGCUGAUCGCAAGAUCAGCCGCAGUGAAUAGGCCCAGGCGACUGUUUAUCAAAAACACAGGUCUCUGCAAAAUCGUAAGAUGACGUAUAGGGGCUGACGCCUGCCCGGUGCUGGAAGGUUAAAAGGAUGGGUUAGCUUCGGCGAAGCUCAGAAUUGAAGCCCCAGUAAACGGCGGCCGUAACUAUAACGGUCCUAAGGUAGCGAAAUUCCUUGUCGGGUAAGUUCCGACCCGCACGAAAGGCGUAACGAUCUGGGCACUGUCUCAACGAGAGACUCGGUGAAAUUAUAUUGUCCGUGAAGAUGCGGACUACCCGCGACAGGACGGAAAGACCCCAUGGAGCUUUACUGUAGCUUGAUAUUGAGUGUUUGUACAGCUUGUACAGGAUAGGUAGGAGCCAUAGAAACCGGAACGCUAGUUUCGGUGGAGGCGUUGGUGGGAUACUACCCUCGCUGUAUGACCACUCUAACCCGCACCACUAAUCGUGGUGGGAGACAGUGUCAGGUGGGCAGUUUGACUGGGGCGGUCGCCUCCUAAAAAGUAACGGAGGCGCCCAAAGGUUCCCUCAGAAUGGUUGGAAAUCAUUCGCAGAGUGUAAAGGCACAAGGGAGCUUGACUGCGAGACAGACAGGUCGAGCAGGGACGAAAGUCGGGCUUAGUGAUCCGGUGGUACCGUAUGGAAGGGCCAUCGCUCAACGGAUAAAAGCUACCCUGGGGAUAACAGGCUUAUCUCCCCCAAGAGUCCACAUCGACGGGGAGGUUUGGCACCUCGAUGUCGGCUCAUCGCAUCCUGGGGCUGUAGUCGGUCCCAAGGGUUGGGCUGUUCGCCCAUUAAAGCGGUACGCGAGCUGGGUUCAGAACGUCGUGAGACAGUUCGGUCCCUAUCCGUCGCGGGCGUAGGAAAUUUGAGAGGACCUGUCCUUAGUACGAGAGGACCGGGAUGGACAUACCUCUGGUGUACCAGUUGUGCCGCCAGGCGCAUCGCUGGGUAGCUACGUAUGGAUGUGAUAAACGCUGAAAGCAUCUAAGUGUGAAACACACCUCGAGAUGAGAUUUCCCAUUCCUUUAUGGAAGUAAGACCCCUGAAAGAUGAUCAGGUAGAUAGGUUAGAAGUGGCAGUGCGGUGACGCAUGAAGCGGACUAAUACUAAUCGGUCGAGGACUUAACCAAG